AUUGAACGCUGGCGGAAUGCUUUACACAUGCAAGUCGAACGGCAGCACGGACUUCGGUCUGGUGGCGAGUGGCGAACGGGUGAGUAACAUAUCGGAACGUAUCCAAUAAUGGGGGAUAACUAAUCGAAAGGUUGGCUAAUACCGCAUACGCCCUACGGGGGAAAGCUAGGGACCUUCGGGCCUGGCGUUAAUGGAGCGGCCGAUAUCUGAUUAGCUAGUUGGUGAGGUAAAGGCUCACCAAGGCGACGAUCAGUAGCUGGUCUGAGAGGACGACCAGCCACACUGGAACUGAGACACGGUCCAGACUCCUACGGGAGGCAGCAGUGGGGAAUUUUGGACAAUGGGCGCAAGCCUGAUCCAGCCAUUCCGCGUGAGUGAGGAAGGCCUUCGGGUUGUAAAGCUCUUUCGCAAGGGAAGAAAACUUACCCUCUAACAUAGGGUGAGGUUGACGGUACCUUGAUAAGAAGCACCGGCUAACUACGUGCCAGCCGCCGCGGUAAAAC
rnacentral:rRNA from 1 species